GGAGAGGUGGCAGAGUGGUCGAAUGCGUCCGACUUGAAAUCGGAUGAGCCGCAAGGUUCCGUGGGUUCGAAUCCCACCCUCUCCGUCA
rnacentral:tRNA from 1 species